GCUUUCAGCUUAUUUUGCGCAGCUUAGGUGGGAGGCUACGAACCUUUUCUUCCGGGAGGAGGGGAGCCAUCAGUGAGAUACCACUCUUGGUAAGCUAGAAAGCUCAGUCUCAACCGUUAUCCGGUAAGACGACAGUUUCAGGCGGGCAGUUUGACUGGGGCAGUCACCUCCCAAAAGGUAAUGGAGGUGCACAAAGGUUCCCUCAGGUUGGACGGAAAUCAACCAUAGAGUGUAAAAGCAUAAGGGAGCUUGACUGCGAGACUGACAUGUCAAGCAGAGACGAAAGUCGGUUUUAGUGAUCCGACGGUGCUGCGUGGAAAGGCCGUCGCUCAACGGAUAAAAGUUACUCUAGGGAUAACA
rnacentral:rRNA from 1 species